GAAAUGCGAUAAGCAAUGUGAAUUGCAGAAUUCAGUGAAUCAUCGAAUCUUUGAACGCACAUUGCGCCCGCCAGUAUUCUGGCGGGCAUGCCUGUUCGAGCGUCAUUACAACCCUCAGGCCCCCGGGCCUGGCGUUGGGGAUCGGCGGAAGCCCCCUGCGGGCACAACGCCGUCCCCCAAAUACAGUGGCGGUCCCGCCGCAGCUUCCAUUGCGUAGUAGCUAACACCUCGCAACUGGAGAGCGGCGCGGCCACGCCGUAAAACACCCAACUUCUGAAUGUUGACCUCGAAUCAGGUAGGAAUACCCGCUGAACUUAAGC
rnacentral:misc_RNA from 1 species